rnacentral:rRNA from 1 species
AUGAACGCUAGCUACAGGCUUAACACAUGCAAGUCGAGGGGCAGCAUUUUAGUUUGCUUGCAAACUGAAGAUGGCGACCGGCGCACGGGUGAGUAACACGUAUCCAACCUGCCGAUAACUCCGGGAUAGCCUUUCGAAAGAAAGAUUAAUACCGGAUAGCAUACGAAUAUCGCAUGAUAUUUUUAUUAAAGAAUUUCGGUUAUCGAUGGGGAUGCGUUCCAUUAGUUUGUUGGCGGGGUAACGGCCCACCAAGACUACGAUGGAUAGGGGUUCUGAGAGGAAGGUCCCCCACAUUGGGACUGAGACACGGUCCAAACUCCUACGGGAGGCAGCAGUGAGGAAUAUUGGUCAAUGGGCGCGAGCCUGAACCAGCCAAGUAGCGUGAAGGAUGAAGGCUCUAUGGGUCGUAAACUUCUUUUAUAUGGGAAUAAAGUUUUCCACGUGUGGAAUUUUGUAUGUACCAUAUGAAUAAGGAUCGGCUAACUCCGUGCCAGCAGCCGCGGUAAUACGGAGGAUCCGAGCGUUAUCCGGAUUUAUUGGGUUUAAAGGGAGCGUAGGUGGAUUGUUAAGUCAGUUGUGAAAGUUUGCGGCUCAACCGUAAAAUUGCAGUUGAAACUGGCAGUCUUGAGUACAGUAGAGGUGGGCGGAAUUCGUGGUGUAGCGGUGAAAUGCUUAGAUAUCACGAAGAACUCCGAUUGCGAAGGCAGCUCACUAGACUGUCACUGACACUGAUGCUCGAAAGUGUGGGUAUCAAACAGGAUUAGAUACCCUGGUAGUCCACACAGUAAACGAUGAAUACUCGCUGUUUGCGAUAUACAGUAAGCGGCCAAGCGAAAGCAUUAAGUAUUCCACCUGGGGAGUACGCCGGCAACGGUGAAACUCAAAGGAAUUGACGGGGGCCCGCACAAGCGGAGGAACAUGUGGUUUAAUUCGAUGAUACGCGAGGAACCUUACCCGGGCUUAAAUUGCAACAGAAUAUAUUGGAAACAGUAUAGCCGUAAGGCUGUUGUGAAGGUGCUGCAUGGUUGUCGUCAGCUCGUGUCGUGAGAUGUUGGGUUAAGUCCCGCAACGAGCGCAACCCCUAUCUUUAGUAGCCAGCAUUUCAGGUGGGCACUCUAGAGAGACUGCCAGGGAUAACCUGGAGGAAGGUGGGGAUGACGUCAAAUCAGCACGGCCCUUACGUCCGGGGCUACACACGUGUUACAAUGGGGGGUACAGAAGGCAGCUAGCGGGUGACCGUAUGCUAAUCCCAAAAUCCUCUCUCAGUUCGGAUCGAAGUCUGCAACCCGACUUCGUGAAGCUGGAUUCGCUAGUAAUCGCGCAUCAGCCAUGGCGCGGUGAAUACGUUCCCGGGCCUUGUACACACCGCCCGUCACACCAUGGGAGUCAGUAACGCCCGAAGCCGGUGACCCAACCUUGCUAGGAGGGAGCCGUCGAAGGUGGGACUGAUAACUGGGGUG